AGAAGCCCUCUUAUGUAACUAAGGCGGGCAGGCGGGCAGGGAGCUGCAGCCUGUCCUGCUGAGGUCUGCCAUUUACAAGCCUCCUCGCUGGGUUCUGAGUUUGAAACCCAGAGGUGUUCCCAGCUCAGCACCCCCAAGGAGCAGAAAUUGGAGAAAAGGAGCCCUGGCCAAAGGUAGUUCUUGCUCAAGACUCCAAGAACUAUCAUGGCACAGAAGUUCCACAGAUUUAAUCUAGUCUGACCUUCUCAAACUUUAAGACACUGAGACCCAGAAAAACCCAGCCCGUGGGUGAGAGCGCCGAAGCAGACUGCAGAGAGCUCAGUCGUCCACCGCCCCCAACACUCCCAGACUCAGCCUUCAGGGGCUUCUCUGCUUAUUAACACCUUCCCUUUCCCAGGCCAUUAGAUCCUUUCUUCUCCACCUAAAAACUCCAGAGUUCCCAGCUGUUUCCAGGAAGAUUGCUGGUGAUUGUCCAGGGAUCCCCUGCCGCUGUCCAAGCAGACAACUUAAAGUUUUCCUUACAAAGUAAUGUGUGCUCACUGUAAAUAAACAUGAAUAAACAAAUAACCACAGUAUAGAAUCAUAUGAGGCAGAGGGCAGCAAACUCUUUCUAUAAUGAACCAGAUAGUAAAUAUUUUCAUCUUUGUGAACUAUACUGUCUCUGUCUCAGCUACUCAGCCCUUCUAUUGCAGGGCCAGAGCAGCUUGGGACACCGUGCCACUAGACGGGCAUGGCUGCAUUACAAUAAAGCUUUAUUUACAAAAGCAGGCUAUGGGCCAGAUUUAGCCCACAGGCUAUGGUUUUCCAGCCCUGGUAUAAGAUAAAAGAAAACAUCCUCCAUUAACUCCCCAAUCCCACUCCCCAGAGAUAGCUAUUGUUGAGAGUCUGGUCUGUAAUUUCCCUGACAUGCACAGAAGUGUUAGCAAAUAUGAGUUUAGUCACAUAAAUUUUGUCAUAUACAAAAUGCGCAGUUCUGUAUCUUGCCUUUCUCCCAUUUCCUGUGCACAGAUAUAUGUGGGAGGGUACAUACUCUUUUUUAUACAACUAUAGCCAUAUUAUGCAUAUGCUACAGUUUCCUUUGCUUGGCAGUGACUCAGGGUCUAUGCUUAUAGAUUAUGAAUUCUUUUUUUUUUAUAUCGUUAAUGUACAAUUACUUGAACAACAUACGGUUACUAGACUCUCCCUAUUAUCAAGUGCCCCCCACAUGCCCCAUUACAGUCACUGGAUUAUGACUUCUUUAUAAUAGCUACAUAGUGGCCUCAUUUUUUACCUUCCACCAAGAAAUCAUGCCACAUACAAAAAACAUGUAACUAUAUAUUUAAAUGAUUCCUGGCAGACAGUUAAAGAUGAUGUCUUGUUUGCUGCACCAUGCCCUGUGUGUCUGGGUACCACUCUGUAUUCCCCACAGAGUAAAGGGGGGGGCUUGCUUCAGCCUAACUUACUCCCAGCCCAGCACUGUGUGCAAGUAGUGAGUUAAUAAAUGAUUUUGCAUGACCAUUAGGGUUCAGAACAAAUUUUAGGGUUACCAUCAUGGUUGAUUAUGAGAUUUCUGUGAAGUCUUGAAAAUUCCAAGUUUUUUGUAAUGCUGUAGAUUGUGAGUCAUGGUGAGUAAGGAUAGGCCCACACCACACUGUCCUCUCUUUAAGUCUGUGUGCAAGCUGUUCCAUCUUAGUUUCCUAGAGCUUCUGUAACAAAGUACCACAAACUUGGUGGCUUCAAACUGAUAGUCUCUCAAAGUUCCAGGGGCCAGACAACUGGUAUCAGGGUAUCAGCAGGGAUGGUUCCUUCCAGAAGCUCUGAUGGGCAACCUGUCCCAUGCUCUCCCCUGGCUUCUGGUGGUUCCUGGGAGCGCCCUGGCUGGCAGCUGUGUCAUUCCAACCUUUGCCUCCAUCUGCCCGUUGCCCCUUCUCUGGGUCUGUGUCUCCUUUUCCUUUCUUACACAGAUGCUGUUGGAUUUAGGGCCCACUCUCAUCCAGGAUGACACAACCUCAAGAUUCUUACCUUAAUUAUAUCUGCAGAAACCCUUGUUCCAAACAAGGGUAUAUUCUGAGGUCCCAGGAGGACAUACCUUGUAAGCACCACAAUUCAACCCACUCCAUUUCCUCUGUCUAAAACCAGGAGUGUUCCAUCUCAGGCUUUUCCUCCUGUUUAUGCAGAAAGGGGCAAAAGCCAUUCUCUCCAUGAUCAGCAGCCCUAAUCUUGGAGGAGAACCCAGAAACCCAGGGAUGGCAUCUGCUGUCACUCAUUUGCAAGUCUAGCUCUCAUUCAGCCUCAGAAAAGCACCAGCCAGAACUGUGAGACUUCUAGGAAUUUCCUUAAGGAGUUCAGCAAAGUAAGAGGCUAAUGAGAAACGUGUUUGUGUAUCUGAUACUUUAAUUGAAAAGGAAGCAGAAUAAACUGUCUUUUGUGAUUCCCUGGGAGCACUUAGCUCACCGGUGCCCACUCACUGUGUGCCCUCAGGUCAAUGGCACGUUCCCUGAAUUAACCAACAUGAAUCGCUGGGUUCCCAAGUUUGUAUCCAAUGCGAGGCCAGCAUAACCAGUACCAUCUAUUUGUAUAAUUUCUCAGGAGAAAGUAACAUUCAUGCAAAAAUAAAGGAUGGUGGCAGGUAUGUGAUCUGCUUUUAAUAGUUUGAGGAAACAGCUUGCCUCUUGUGUCGCCCAAGGCACUUUUUAAGUUUUGCAAUGGAGGAAUGCCUGCUCACUUCUGACACUAUAAUAGCACCUUUGGGCACUCAAGACAGAAACCCACCUCACGCCAGCUAGAUUCAUGUCCUGGGGCAGCCCCAACAAAGUGCUGUAAAGUAUUUCACAGAAAUAAAAACAGCAGAAAUGUAUUCUCGCACAGUUCCGGCGGCUGGAGUCUGCAGUUAGGGUGUCAGCAGGGCCAGCUCACUCUGAGGUGUCUAGGGGAGGACCCUUCCUGCCUCCUCCCGCUGCUGGUAGCCCAGGCAUUCCUUGGCUCGCAGUAACAAACUCCAGUCUCUGCCUUCUUGUCACUUGUCAUUCCCUUGUCUGCCUCCCUUUCCUCUUAUGAGGAAUGAGGACAUCAGUCACAUUGGAUUGAUUUGCUCAAACCGGCCUUUCUGCUCCAGGAAGGCACUGAGAGAGCGUCUGUCCACUGGAGAUAGUUUGCUGAUAAAAAAGUGAUGCCACUUUCUUCAAGUUUGAGAAUGUGGCAGAGGGGGAACUAGUUGUUCCAACAGGAUAGGAAGGCCUUUAAACUUUGAUGCAAUAAGCAGCUGGAAGGGAAUAUUGGAGAAUAUUGAUGGGUUUUCUGCUGAGAAUUAGGAGUAUUUUCUGCAGAUGACCUGUUUAUUGCAUACUGAAAGAAUUAAAAA